rnacentral:rRNA from 1 species
CCUACGGGAGGCAGCAGUCGGGAAUUUUGGGCAAUGGGCGAAAGCCUGACCCAGCAACGCCGCGUGAAGGAUGAAGUCUUUCGGGAUGUAAACUUCGUGAGAAUAGGAAGAAUAAAUGACGGUACUAUUUGUAAGGUCCGGCUAACUACGUGCCAGCAGCCGCGGUAAUACGUAGGGACCAAGCGUUGUUCGGAUUUACUGGGCGUAAAGGGCGCGUAGGCGGCAAUUCAAGUCAUCUGUGAAAUCUCCGGGCUUAACUCGGAACGGUCAGAUGAUACUGCUUUGCUAGAGUGCAGAAGGGGCAAUCGGAAUUCUUGGUGUAGCGGUGAAAUGCGUAGAUAUCAAGAGGAACACCGGAGGCGAAGGCGGAUUGCUAGGCUGACACUGACGCUGAGGCGCGAAAGCCAGGGGAGCAAACGGGAUUAGAUACCCCGGUAGUCCUAGCCCUAAACGAUGAAUACUUGGUGUCUGGAGUUUUAUUCUCCGGGUGCCGUCGCUAACGUUUUAAGUAUUCCGCCUGGGGAGUACGCACGCAAGUGUGAAACUCAAAGGAAUUGACGG